rnacentral:misc_RNA from 1 species
GCAAACUUGGUCAUUUAGAGGAAGUAAAAGUCGUAACAAGGUUUCCGUAGGUGAACCUGCGGAAGGAUCAUUAACGAGUCAUUGACCGGGUUGUAGCUGGCCUUCCGGGGUAUGUGCACGCCUGGCUCGUCCACUCUUUUUCUUAACCUCUGUGCAUUUAUUUGGUAGGGUGGUGGAAAAGCAAGUUUUAUUGGAAUUUGCUGAGAAGCCUUCCUAUGUUUUCACUACAAACAGCUGCCAGUGUAAGAGUGUAACUUUUAUACGUAUAGUAAUGCGUGUACAAUAUAACUUUCAGCAACGGAUCUCUUGGCUCUCGCAUCGAUGAAGAACGCAGC